UCCAAUGAUGACUAAGUUGAGAUUAACUGAGCUGUAAAAUAUUUGCAGCAAAUGUUGAUAAAUUUGAACUAGGACGGUCUGAGGA